rnacentral:rRNA from 1 species
GAUGAAUGCGGGCGGCAUGCCUAACACAUGCAAGUCGAACGAAGUCUUCGGACUUAGUGGCGCACGGGUGCGUAACGCGUGGGAAUCUGCCCUUGGGUACGGAAUAACUCAGAGAAAUUUGUGCUAAUACCGUAUAAUGUCUUCGGACCAAAGAUUUAUCGCCCAAGGAUGAGCCCGCGUAAGAUUAGCUAGUUGGUGGGGUAAAAGCCUACCAAGGCGACGAUCUUUAGCUGGUCUGAGAGGAUGAUCAGCCACACUGGGACUGAGACACGGCCCAGACUCCUACGGGAGGCAGCAGUGGGGAAUAUUGGACAAUGGGCGAAAGCCUGAUCCAGCAAUGCCGCGUGAGUGAUGAAGGCCUUAGGGUUGUAAAGCUCUUUUACCAGGGGUGAUAAUGACAGUACCUGGAGAAUAAGCUCCGGCUAACUCCGUGCCAGCCGCCGCCGUAACAC